rnacentral:rRNA from 1 species
UGAACCAGGAGCUUGCUUUUGGGGAUUAGUGGCGAACGGGUGAGUAACACGUGAGUAACCUGCCCUGGACUCUGGGAUAACCCCGAGAAAUCGGAGCUAAUACCGGAUAGGACCUUGCACCGCAUGGUGUGGGGUGGAAAGUUUUUCGGUCUGGGAUGGACUCGCGGCCUAUCAGCUUGUUGGUGAGGUAAUGGCUCACCAAGGCGUCGACGGGUAGCCGGCCUGAGAGGGUGACCGGCCACACUGGGACUGAGACACGGCCCAGACUCCUACGGGAGGCAGCAGUGGGGAAUAUUGCACAAUGGGCGCAAGCCUGAUGCAGCAACGCCGCGUGCGGGAUGACGGCCUUCGGGUUGUAAACCGCUUUUAGUAAGGAAGAAGGGGCUUCGGCCUUGACGGUACUUGCAGAAAAAGGACCGGCUAACUACGUGCCAGCAGCCGCGGUAAUACGUAGGGUCCGAGCGUUGUCCGGAAUUAUUGGGCGUAAAGAGCUCGUAGGCGGUUUGUCGCGUCUGCUGUGAAAUCCCGAGGGCUCACCCU